rnacentral:rRNA from 1 species
GAUGAACGCUGGCGGCGUGCUUAACACAUGCAAGUCGAACGGUGAGACCGGAGCUUGCUUUGCUGGACCAUUGGCGCACGGGUGAGUAACACGUGAGCAUUAUGCACCUGACUCUGGGAUAUGAGUUGGAAAAGCCGUCUCUUACUGGAUAUGAGAUGCGAAGGCAUCUUCAGCAGCUGGAAAGAACUUCGGUCAGGGAUGGGCUCGCAGCCUAUCAGCUUGUUUGUCAGGUAACGGCUCACGAAGGCGUCGACGGGUAGCCGGCCUGGGAGGGGGGACGGCGACACUGGGACUGAGACACGGCGCAGACGGCUACGGGAGGCAGCAGUGGAGAAUAUUGCACAAUGGGGGAAAGCCUGAUGCAGCAACGUCGCGUUAGGGACGACGUCCUUCGAGGGGUAAACCUCUUUUAGCAUGGAAGAAGCGAAAGUGACGGUACCUGCAGAAAAAGCGCCGGCUAACUACGUG